rnacentral:rRNA from 1 species
CGAACGGGUGAGUAAUACAUCGGAACGUGCCUAGUAGUGGGGGAUAACUACUCGAAAGAGUAGCUAAUACCGCAUGAGAUCUACGGAUGAAAGCAGGGGAUCGCAAGACCUUGUGCUACUAGAGCGGCUGAUGGCAGAUUAGGUAGUUGGUGGGGUAAAGGCUCACCAAGCCAACGAUCUGUAGCUGGUCUGAGAGGACGACCAGCCACACUGGAACUGAGACACGGUCCAGACUCCUACGGGAGGCAGCAGUGGGGAAUUUUGGACAAUGGGCGAAAGCCUGAUCCAGCAAUGCCGCGUGCAGGAUGAAGGCCCUCGGGUUGUAAACUGCUUUUGUACGGAACGAAAAGCUCUGGGCUAAUAUCCCGGAGUCAUGACGGUACCGUAAGAAUAAGCACCGGCUAACUACGUGCCAGCAGCCGCGGUAAUACGUAGGGUGCAAGCGUUAAUCGGAAUUACUGGGCGUAAAGCGUGCGCAGGCGGUUAUGUAAGACAGAGGUGAAAUCCCCGGGCUCAACCUGGGAACUGCCUUUGUGACUGCAUGGCUAGAGUACGGUAGAGGGGGAUGGAAUUCCGCGUGUAGCAGUGAAAUGCGUAGAUAUGCGGAGGAACACCGAUGGCGAAGGCAAUCCCCUGGACCUGUACUGACGCUCAUGCACGAAAGCGUGGGGAGCAAACAGGAUUAGAUACCCUGGUAGUCCACGCCCUAAACGAUGUCAACUGGUUGUU